GGCGGGUCGCGCUCACCUGGGUCAUGAGGCGGUCGGCGCCCGUGUUCUCCUCGUCCUUGAAGAUGAUGUCGGGAUUGUAGUUGGGGGACACAGUGGUGGUUCAGGAUCUCAAUCUCAAAUUCAGAUCUGCAUCCAUGUGGUCACCUGCAGUGGAAGGAGGGUGGGGAAGAGGCCCGUAAGUAAAGCAUCGUCACUUCCACGGCAGUAAUCUUGGAGCGCUUUCGAUCCCAACUGGGGCCCAAGAUGGCUUGGCUGCCCAUGUUCUUAGCCGUUCGGUAGAUGUGGGGUAGCUUUGCACUUACGCUCAUCCAUCCAGAAGCAAAUGCAGCCUGCUCCUUUUUCUGGUCACUGGUAGAUCCUGUUGCCAAUAAACUGGAGAACCAAGGUGUGCCACUCCCAGGGCCAGCAAUGGCCUGGAGUUUAAGCAGCGGCAACAGAGCCUGAUGAGGGCACCUCACAUCUGAGUCCUGGGCCUAUUGGUAAAAUCGCUUUCCUUCUCCCACCUCUAGACCCCUUCGCCCCCUCAAUCGUCUGGAUUUUGCAAAGAACAAAGUAAAAUCUAUUUCUUUGGAUAUGCUGAUUUCUUUUUUGCUUACUAGAGUGCACGUUGGAAAACUAGGUCGGAAAGAAAGAGGAGAGGGAGGAAAAGACACCAUAGAACCGGAUAAUUUAAACAUAUCUGUUGGGGGCACCUGGAUGGGUCAAUCAGUAGAGUGUGGGACUCUUGAUCUCGGGGACAUGAGUUCCAGCCCUAUGUUGGGUGUAGAGAUUACUUAAAUGAAAAUUUAAAGGUUUUACUAUCUGUUUAUUAGACUACUAUGCUAGUAUAUUUACUCCGUCUUGAAAUUAACACUGUAGUACAAAUACCAUGUGCUGCUUGUCAUCUAUUUGUACAGGUGUGUGUAGGUAUGUGCGUGUGUACAGACGUGUGUGUAUAUCCGCAGAAUCACACACAUAAUCUGUGCUGGUCCCUAUUUCUGUAAUCAACUAGUCUUUUUCCUCCUAGUCCUGCCACUUGCCCAGAUCAAUCUUGCUCUAAAUCCAUGGGAGCCAAGCCACAACGAGACAAGUUUCAGGAAUGCCGUUAGUUGAAUACCUGCCGGUGACUCAGGGCACAGCAGCCCCGGCUCAUGGAAAGAGCACCAGGCCUGGAAUCGGCCAAUCUGCACCCGAACGUGGUCUCUGAUACCUUCUACCCAUGUGGCCUUGGGUGUCCUUCUGCCAGUUUUAAACCAGUUCCUGCUUUAAAAUGGCUUUGGGGGAGGACCCACAGGAGCCAUGCCUGUCCCCAAAUUACCACACAGCACCCUCAGUGAGAAACAUCAAAUGCUCCCUCCUGGUGUUCCAUCCUCGCCCUGUAUGACAUGAUCAAGUAAGUUUCGUUUGGCACAGUUCUACUAUUUUCAUUCUUCCAAUCCUAAAAAUGCGCCUACACUUUGACCGUUCAAUAGUCCAAGUUGCUGGCGCUGGGCCUCACUGUACCUCAGCUCACUGGCUGUGACACCUCUAAAGGCAAGGUGACAGCGGGGGACAAACUCAGAGUUGGCCAUUUCUUAAACCAGGUGCCCUAGUGUCCACAGGAGGAACGUCGUCUGCCUUUGGCCAAACAUACUGCUGCGUUAAUUUUCCCUUUAGACAAUCCAGACCCUGCAUCUCCUUUCGAUUCCACGUGGCCAUUGCCUAGGCCCUCUAUUCCCUCUGUCCUCCUCUUCCAAUCGUGUAAAUUACCCUGCCACCCUGAAUUGGUACUUAUUAAAAAGAGCAACGGAAUGGACAUUAGCACCAGCAGAAAACCACUCAAGGUGGGUUAUCUGGGUCACAUCCACACAUCAUCAGAGUAUGACUCUUUACAUUAUUGUCAUAUCCGGUAACUAAUGAAACAGAAAUCCUUUCUGGCAAUUCCUCUUCCCCCAGCCAGGGCCUUCCUGUUCCUCCCAUAUGUGACAUGGGACCCAUCGGUACUGCCGCGUGCCCUGGGCAGCGCCAGGCAGCAGUUGUAAAUGAAACUGGCAGGCUUUCCUCCUCCCGUGGUAGCAGAUCUUUUAGUCUUGAAUAAAGGAUCUCUUAACAUGCUCCUUCCUCCCAGGACCCCCGGCAGUACUGUGCUUGACCCCUGGCCACAGACCCAGACCCUGCAGGGCUUCCCCCACUCCCCGCCCCCCAGCGCCGACUCAGCGCACCAUCCUGCUUACCCUUCAAGGCUUGGGGUGGGAGGGGGAAGCUGGAUGGAAGGCUAGUCAAGAGGGUUACCCUUACCCUACUCCAUUCUCCCUUCUCCUGUCGAUCCUAUCAGGGGUCCAUAAAGCGAGGAGGACUCUGGCCCGGGAGAGGGGGGUAGGGGUUAGGCAAACAGGCCAGGGAGGCAGUUGGUUGAAGUUUAACCACAAUAUUCUUGGUCUCUAUUGUUUUGAGUGAGGCCCAAUAUUUCCACAGCAGGAUUAUAGAAUCUGAUUAACCAUGUUAGACAACAAUGCCGAGCUGGGAUGGGCUUCCCCUUCCAGCUGCCAAUAUGAAAAAGUAAAUAUAACACCCAGAUUUCAGAAGGGACUCCCAGCAGCCCCCAAGCCCUCCUCCCCAGUUCUAGCCCCGCUUCUGUUUGGGGACCCAAAGUGAGGGGAGGACGAGUGUGGCAUCGCAUAUGCUCCUUUAACUCCUGGCCCUCGGCCCAGCAGGACAGGUAAUCCUGGUACAAUCUUCCCAGGUGAGUCAAUGGCUAUGUGCUCCCCACACCCUGGAGUCCUUCCAGUGCCUCUUCCGGGUUCCCCUGAGCUGGCCCAGACUCUCAGGAACCCAUGAGAGUUAGGUGCGGAGAGGCUAGCUGCAUUCAAAGGGUCCGGGAGUGUAGAGGGCCCAGCAGAAUGUUCUGGGCUUCCAGAGAGAGCGAGACCAAGCACGGGUAGGACUUAAUAGCUUGGAAGAGCAAAGGAGCCUUUGCUGGAAGGCUUCGGUGCCAUGUCAUGACUUCCUGGAAGCCAGGGUAAAGAAAUGAGACCCCAGAGUUGAGGAACCACCAUAAGGCAGCACCUCGGGAGACGGAAAAGUAUUCCUCCAAGGGUCUAGGACAACAGACAGAGGACAGCUGGGCUUGCAGCUCAAGGAACGAGGGAUCCCUUAGGUCCCUCUGUGUCACCCAUGUGCACGCACGCAAGCUAAUUCAGACUCUCCCUGUCUGGAUGUUUCCCCUCAGGAUGGGGUCUUCUGAUGCCCUGUCCGACGCGGUGGGGGUGCGGGGAGGAAUACAGCAGUAAGGAGCAACAAGAUUAACUUGCAGCUUCCAGAAGGUCGUGGCGGUUUGGGAGAUCUCUCCCUCCAAAGUGGGACUCCCCCGCCUUCCGUCGUUCCUCUCUGUAACUGAGUGCCCAGCAUAAUCCAGUGCAAGUCGGUGAGCCCACGUAUUUACUGAUGUCGGGAACAGGGUCUAGGAACCCAGAGCCACGGCUCUGGCUCCGAGGCGGGGGUCUUCCUGUAGGAGGUCACUACUCCUUUUGAAGUGUUUCUUCUUUGGGAAAACUAGAAUAUAGAAAAUACUUCAGGGCAGAGCUUAGGAAAGCACACAUCCUGGGGCGCCUGGCCGGCUCAGUGGGUAGAGCGUUUAACUCCUGAUCCUGGGGUUGCGAGUUCGAGCCCCAUGUUGGGUAUAGAGAUUACUUCAAAAAGGAAAGAAAAGCAUACAUCCGGAUCUUAUCAAAACCCAGUUAACAUGAAGUUGCACCGUUUGCUCGUAUAAUCCCACCAUGGUGAUAUUUUCUGAAUUAGGGUCAAAAGCGGACUCUGUUCUCAGAGAGUAUUUUUACUCCUUGAGAGUAUGAAAGGAUGAAAACAGAAGGCACACAGGAAGUAGGUGUAUAACACAGAUGACAUUAAUAGCUCAAAUAGCGAGGGGGUAGGCAGAACAGAGAAAGAGCUUAUUACAUCGUGAGGAUGGGUUAUUAAGAGGAUUUUAGGGUUCCCCUGUACUCUGGGGAGCAGAUCUUCCUAGUUUUGUAAAUAGGACAACACGAGGGACAGCAUAAUGGUGGACAGAAGGAGAACCAGACCAAGCUGUGGCCUUUUCCAUCCCCCCAAACUCCCCCCCCGCCCCGGCAAUGUCGCUAUCCAGAGGCAGACGGGCUCAUCUCCCAACCGCCCAGUCGAGGAGCGGAGUGCUCCGUGGAGGUGAAGUUCAUCAGACCCCGGGGAAGCGACAGAUUCUUUCCUCGUCCGGAACCGUAGGAGCACUGAUCUCUUUGCUUCCUUACACUCCAGAAAUUCCAGGGUCAGCUCCUCCAGGUUCAGUGGGAAGAUGCAGACUAGAAGCUCCUUUUUCCCUUCUCAAUAACUUUUCUAGCCUUUGGAAACACUCCUUGAUCUAGGAGACGUGACAGAGCAGAGAAUGACCCCGGUGGGAUUUUUUUCCAGGCGGUGGCCAGGGCGCUGCCCUCAAGGCUGCUGGGAAGCCCUCAGUCAGGCCCGGCCGAAGGAGGUGCUGCCCAGCUGGCCGGCUAAGGGACGAAGAUUUCUCUUCCAGCAAAGAGCUUGCCUGUCCCAGCUGACUGUGGGGGGCAGGGGCGCCCGUCCGCGAGGCCAAAUAGGCCUGGCAGCCUAGGUGGCGCUAUUUCCCUAUUUUUAGGUCAAAUUGCAAGAACUUCCUCGAGGUCCCUAGUCCUGCUCCUGGUUUGCUGGCUUGCUCCUGUAAACCACCUUAUAUUAUUUUUUUUUCUAAAAAUACUCCAAAGCAAUUGAAAGAGUCCCUUCUCCCAACAGCCAGCCCUGGCCCCAGCCCCGGCCCCGGGGAGCGGGCGGGUAGGCGGGGAGGUGGGCCACUGCUUUAUUAAACACAGGGAAAACUAAUAUUUACGGAAUAAAAUUUAUGGAGCAGCCACGAGAAUUCGACCCUUUUAUGUGCAUGUGGGGUGGGGGUUGGGCCAGGCUGGGGGCCUGGGGAGGGGCCCAAGCCAGGGGGCAGGGCUGGAGUACAGCCUGGCCAGGCCAAUUUGUAGAGGCUGGGAUUUCCCUGGAGUUGCCCCCAGGAUUCGCAAUCACCACCCCUAGCUCGGAGGGGCAAGGAUACCCACCCAGGGCAGAGCCUCUGGGAGCACUGCUUCUCGAAGGAUAUGUUUAGGCAAAUCCCUAUGCAGGCAGCAAACUUUGGGGUGAAGGGGACAGUGCGGUG